GCCAGACUCCUACGGGAGGCAGCAGUGGGGAAUAUUGCACAAUGGGGGAAACCCUGAUGCAGCAACGCCGCGUGAGUGAAGAAGUCAUUCGUGAUGUAAAGCUCUAUCAGCAGGGAAGAAGGAGGACGGUACCUGACUAAGAAGCCCCGGCUAACUACGUGCCAGCAGCCGCGGUAAUACGUAGGGGGCAAGCGUUAUCCGGAUUUACUGGGUGUAAAGGGGGCGCAGACGGCAGCGCAAGCCAGGAGUGAAAGCCCGGGGCCCAACCCCGGGACUGCCCUUGGAACUGUGCGGCUAGAGUGCGGGAGGGGCAGGCGGAAUUCCUGGUGUAGCGGUGAAAUGCGUAGAUAUCAGGAGGAACACCGGCGGCGAAGGCGGCCUGCUGGACCGCGACUGACGUUGAGGCUCGAAAGCGUGGGGAGCGAACAGGAUUAGAUACCCCAGUA
rnacentral:rRNA from 1 species